rnacentral:rRNA from 1 species
UACAGAGGUCUCAAGCGUUGUUCGGAUUCAUUGGGCGUAAAGGGUGUGUAGGUGGCGCCGUAAGUCGGGUGUGAAAUUUCGGAGCUUAACUCCGAAACUGCAUUCGAUACUGCGGUGCUUGAGGACUGGAGAGGAGACUGGAAUUCAAUGGUGUAGCAGUGAAAUGCGUAGAGAUCAUGAGGAAGACCAGUGGCGAAGGCGGGUCUCUGGACAGUUCCUGACACUGAGACACGAAGGCCAGGGGAGCAAACGGG